rnacentral:rRNA from 1 species
GACGAACGCUGGCGGCGUGCCUAAUACAUGCAAGUAGGACGCACAGUCUAUACCGUAGCUUGCUACACCAUAGGCUGUGAGUUGCGAACGGGUGAGUAACGCGUAGGUAACCUGCCUAUUAGAGGGGGAUAACUAUUGGAAACGAUAGCUAAUACCGCAUAACAGUAUGUAACACAUGUUAGAUGCUUGAAAGAUGCAAUUGCAUCGCUAGUAGAUGGACCUGCGUUGUAUUAGCUAGUAGGUAGGGUAAUGGCCUACCUAGGCGACGAUACAUAGCCGACCCGAGAGGGUGAUCGGCCACACUGGGACUGAGACACGGCCCAGACUCCUACGGGAGGCAGCAGUAGGGAAUCUUCGGCAAUGGGGGGAACCCUGACCGAGCAACGCCGCGUGAGUGAAGAAGGUUUUCGGAUCGUAAAGCUCUGUUGUUAAGGAAGAACGAGUGUGAGAAUGGAAAGUUCAUACUGUGACGGUACUUAACCAGAAAGGGACGGCUAACUACGUG